GCGCCGAUGGUUUAGUGGUAAAAUUCUCCGUUGCCAUCCAGCAGUGUCGGGGAGCCGGGGGUCCGAUUCCCCCUUCGGCGCA
rfam:Colletotrichum salicis strain CBS 607.94 Scaffold_929.1, whole genome shotgun sequence.